UAGUGGAAUAUAGACGUAAGAUGGUCCAAUUUGCCGAGACGGAAGGUCGAUUCGGAGCGCGGGAAGCAGAAGAAGAGUCGACGUGUGCAUUAUACGAGCAGACGACAUCAUUCUGGCUCUGUGGACCGGGCUGGGAGACCAAGCUACCUCGCCCGCUCCCUGCAAGCAACGCACACACCACGAGACAACAGGUGACGCCACUAAAGAUGACUGAAUCUAUAAGAGCCAUCGAAGACGGUCGCACAAGCGAGAGCGGACUAUUUGGCGGGAACUAGAACGUGGUGUUUGGCGCGUAAAUUCGGGAACACGUGGCUUUCAAGAUGCUGUUUUUCACAGAGGCAACAUUCAAGAUACGCUGUAUUCCAGAGACGGUACGUACAUUGCAGAGUUGCCGUGUCCUAGAGAUGACGUAUCCUAGAAAUUCUACGCUCUGGAUGUACCUAUUCUAGAAAUGGUGUAUUGCAGAGAUGUUGUGGUCCAGAUAUGACGAUUUCCAGAAAUGCCCCAUUCUAGAGAUGCUGAAUCCUACAGAUGGGCGACGCAAGCGAUGCUGUAUUUUAGAUAUGCUGUUUUUCGGAGAUGCUAUAUUCCAGGAAUUCCACGUUCCAUAGAGACUGUGUCUUGAAGCUGUUGCAUUCGGGACAUGCUGUAUUCUGUGGAUGUCGUAUGCAAGAGAUAUUCUGUCUCAGAAAUUACGUGUCAGCAAAACGUCGGACGAUUAUUACAGGGUGUGAUAACAGAACUACAAGUGCAGGGGUUAGUGUUGGCAUGCUGAAUCUGUACAACAAAUAUGUCGGUGUGCACAAAACAGAGUCCAAAGAAUGUUCUGACACGAUAUGAGUGCUCCCAUGAAAACUAUCAGAUGUAUUGUCUUUAGGAAUGGCAAUCCAUAGGAAGGUAUACCCUUUCUGCUUCGUCUGUAAAACGGCUUCUUUCUUGGAAGACACACCCUUUCUCCUUCGUCUUUAGACGAACUGACACUUUGCCAGGACGAUAUAAUCUACUUACUUUGUCUGUAGAAGAACUGCUAUUCUAAAAACGGGUUAGACAAAUCUCAACCUGCUUAAGACAGAUGCAACCACUGACGUCAAUCAACGGUAAUUAAAAACUAAAUAUUGUCCUGCUUGCUAGUAUUGCUGGUGCUGAGAUUCGGACCCCAGAACCUGCCAGUCUUAAACUCUGGGGUCUCGCACCUCCAAUUCUGGUCAGUGAAAUAUCAA